UUAUAACAUCUUCCAUUUUGAUUCAUCAGGUAUCCAACUGAGCUAUCUAGAAGAGCCAAAAUUAACUCAGUAAUGGAUUGACAUCAUUCUAAUUUAUGAAAUGGAGCAGUGAAUUAUGUAAUACAUACUACACUAGCACAUGUCCUUGGCCGUCAACUAAAUCCAAAAGCAGCUACUGAAGGAGAAAAAGUUUUAUUAUCUUCUCUGAAAGCACUGGAGGAUUUUUGGCUCAAUGGAGAUAAUGGAAGCUUUCUGUGUGAUAGCACCCAACCAUCGGUGGCUGAUCUCAGUAUGAUUUGUGAACUUAUGCAACUUGAGGUUUUGGAUGAGAGGGAUCGCAGUCGAAUAUUAUCUCCUUACAAGAAAAAUUUUCAGUGGAUUGAGAAUACAAGAAAGGUCAAAGUAAUAAAUUUGUGGCAUAUUGUGGGCUUUGUUCUAUAUGCAAAUCAGGAAGAAAUAGUCUUUCCUCCCUGGUAGGUCUGUCCUUUUCAUGGGUGAAGAUGAUCAAGCAUGCAAAUCAAUGGUGCCACAUAAUGGU